rnacentral:rRNA from 1 species
GAUGAACGCUGGCGGCGUGCCUAAUACAUGCAAGUCGAGCGAACGGACGAGAAGCUUGCUUCUCUGAUGUUAGCGGCGGACGGGUGAGUAACACGUGGAUAACCUACCUAUAAGACUGGGAUAACUUCGGGAAACCGUAGCUAAUACCGGAUAAUAUUUUGAACCGCAUGGUUCAAAAGUGAAAGACGGUCUUGCUGUCACUUAUAGAUGGAUCCGCGCUGCAUUAGCUAGUUGGUAAGGUAACGGCUUACCAAGGCAACGAUGCAUAGCCGACCUGAGAGGGGUAUCGGCCAAAAUGGAACCGAGACACGGUCCAGACCCCUACGGGAGGCAGCAGUAGGGAAUCUUCCGCAAUGGGCGAAAGCCUGACGGAGCAACGCCGCGUGAGUGAUGAAGGUCUUCGGAUCGUAAAACUCUGUUAUUAGGGAAGAACAUAUGUGUAAGUAACUGUGCACAUCUUGACGGUACCUAAUCAGAAAGCCACGGCUAACUACGUG